UCUUUGGGAAGCGGCUUCGUGAAGAUAUCAGCCACUUGGUCUUCUGUGGGAACAAAUUCUAGCCUCACUUCACCUUCCAUUACCUUUUCCUUCAGAAAAUGAUAUCUGAUGUCAAUAGGCUUAGUCCUUGAAUGCUGCACCGGAUUCUUAGAGAUGUUGAUAGCACUCAUGUUGUCACAUUUGAUAACCACAGGUUCAUCACAGAUAACACUGAUGU